UCCCUGAUGACUCAGUAGUAAAGCAUCUGCCUGCCAAGGCAGGAGACUCGGGUUUGAUCCCUGAUCUGGGAA
rnacentral:tRNA from 1 species